UAAAUACUCCCUCCGUUCCGAAUUACUUGUCGCAGGUAUGGAUGUAUCUAGAUGUAUUUAAGUCUAGGUAAAUCCAUUUCUAGGACAUGUAAUUUGGAACGGAGGGAGUAUUUU
rfam:Triticum urartu cultivar G1812 contig115702, whole genome shotgun sequence.